rnacentral:rRNA from 1 species
GACGAACGCUGGCGGCGUGCUUAACACAUGCAAGUCGAGCGGUAAUGCCCUUUCGGGGGUACACGAGCGGCGAACGGGUGAGUAACACGUGGGUGACCUGCCCUCAGCUCUGGGAUAAGCCUGGGAAACCGGGUCUAAUACCGGAUAUGACUCCAUGACGCAUGUUGUGGGGUGGAAAGCCUUGUGCGGCUGAGGAUGGGGCCCGCGGCCUAUCAGCUUGUUGGGGGGUGAUGGCCUACCAAGGCGACGACGGGUAGCCGGCCUGAGAGGGCGACCGGCCACACUGGGACUGAGACACGGCCAGACUCCUACGGGAGGCAGCAGUGGGGAAUCUUGCGCAAUGGGCGAAAGCCUGACGCAGCGACGCCGCGU